CCGCCUGCCCUGUGACUAUAUGUUUAACGGCCGCGGUAUUUUGACCGUGCGAAGGUAGCGCAAUCACUUGUCUUUUAAAUGGGGACCUGUAUGAAUGGCAUAACGAGGGCUUAACUGUCUCCUCUUUCAAGUCAAUGAAAUUGAUCUCCCCGUGCAGAAGCGAGGAUAGAUACAUAAGACGAGAAGACCCUAUGGAGCUUUAGACACUAAAGCAGAUCAGUAUUAAUACCCUGAACAUAGACUACGAAUAAACUGACCCCUGCCCUAAUGUCUUUGGUUGGGGCGACCGCGGAGAAAAAUAAAACCCCCGCAAGGACUAAAUGUACUACAUUCACAAACAAGAGCGACAGCUCUAACUAACAGAACUUCUGACCAAUAAGAUCCGGCAAUGCCGAUCAAUGAACCGAGUUACCCUAGGGAUAACAGCGCAAUCUCCUCUUAGAGCCCAUAUCGACG
rnacentral:rRNA from 1 species